UUACGAUAUUCGAUUAUUAUUGACAUAAUUUCGUGGCAUCGAUCUAUAAUCUAUAAGAUUUAACGUAGGAAAAGAAGAAAGAGUGUCAUCCAAAGUAUCAUCAACUAAUGAUUGAAAUCAACAGGUUUUAGAUUUAUUUUUACAUUGUCAAAUAUUUCUAUGAUUUCCGGAUGUACAGAAAUGUAGAAAUAGGGGAAACUGAUAAAGUUGGAAGCUAUGAAGGACAGGAUAAACCUGAAAUGCAAUACCUUUUUAUGCUUCACAAUUUUGGAGAUUUCGGUUUAUUACUGCUCCACUUGGUGUUGUCAGAAUUGACGUAACUCCAAACUGAACUAGAGUAGGGUCAGUGCAUAACAUCCAUCACCACUGCGAGGCAGUUCGUAAAUUUACUUCAACCAGAAAUUCCGCCUUUCAGUUUCACCGGUUCUGCCUCCUUCACGAGAGAAUUCGCAGAAUACAUUCACCAAGCGACGAAGAAGGCCAAUGACGAUAAUUCUUGGAUCAUAAUUCCAUUUGAGUCGGAAAAGAUUCGUGACGGAGAACGGGACACCGCAAUUGCGGGGCUGACGGCGAUGUUCGAGGAACGAGGAGGGAAUUUCCUGUUGUUCCUGCUUCAUUCCUGCGAACGAAGGGGAUUUAAUUAGUCGAAAAGCUAGCUACCAGUGUCACGUGCAUUCGAACGUACGUUGAUACCGUGUCGCUAGGACGACACUAAAAGCGAGAAACGAACGAAAUGAGGAAUAAAGAUGUGACGAUAGAAAUACUGCGUUUGAGAAAAGAGAGAGAGAGAAAGGUAAAGGAUGGGAUAGGAGAAACAAAGGUACGCGAAAAAAAUUGCAGAUUUAGAGGAAAAAGGAAAGAGAAGGAGGAUGAUAAAAGAAGAAAAGAAAGGUACAAAUGCGAUGGAUUUGGCUCGUUAGAAAUAGUGAAUUUUCUUCGAAUUAAAAUGAAAAUUUUCUCUUGUAUACGUUACCCAAAAGAGUUUCUGUAACAAAUUAAAUUUUUUGUUAUUCAGAGACACUUUGAUCGCCAGAAAUUAGUUCAACAGAUAUACGCUACAAAAGUAAUGAAUUUUAUUUCUUACAAUAAAUAAUAUAGGAUCAUUCUGUUCAAGUCAGAUGAUCUAUUAAUUAAUACGCAUCAAUAGCAAUAUUUUGACAUCGACUCCUCUUUCAUUGUUUAAUCAAUUGUUAAUAUAUAUAAAUAAUUAAAUAUACAUAAUAUUUAA
rnacentral:lncRNA from 1 species